rnacentral:rRNA from 1 species
CAUCAGCUAGUUGGCGGGGUAAUGGCCCACCAAGGCGAAGACGGGUAGCUGGUCUGAGAGGAUGACCCCCCACACUGGUACUGAGACACGGACCAGACUCCUACGGGAGGCAGCAGUAAGGAAUAUUGGUCAAUGGACGGAAGUCUGAACCAGCCAUGCCGCGUGCAGGAAGACGGCCCUACGGGUUGUAAACUGCUUUUGCAGGGGAAUAAACCUCGAUACGUGCAUCGAGUUGAAUGUACCUUGAGAAUAAGGAUCGGCUAACUCCGUGCCAGCAGCCGCGGUAAUACGGAGGAUCCAAGCGUUAUCCGGAUUUAUUGGGUUUAAAGGGUGCGUAGGCGGCUUUUUAAGUCAGGGGUGAAAGACGGUAGCUCAACUAUCGCAGUGCCCUUGAUACUGAAGAGCUUGAAUGUACUUGAGGUAGGCGGGAUGUGACAAGUAGCGGUGAAAUGCAUAGAUAUGUCACAGAACACCAAUUGCGAAGGCAGCUUACUAAAGUAUGAUUGACGCUGAGGCACGAAAGCGUGGGGAUCAAACAGGAUUAGAUACCCUGGUAGUCCACGCCCUAAACGAUGAACACUCGAUGUUGGCGAUAUACGGUCAGCGUCUAAGCGAAAGCGUUAAGUGUUCCACCUGG